CCGAGCGAGGGCCUCCGGCCCGACCUCCAACCCUUUGUUGACCCAACACCUGUUGCCUCGGGGGCGACCCGGCCUCCGCGCCGGCGUCCCCGGCGGACCACUUCAACUCUGUGUCUGUACGUCGGAGUGAUUAGUGAAUCAAUCA
rnacentral:misc_RNA from 1 species